GGCGGGGGCGGCCGGCGAGUUAGGGUUAGGGCGAGAGGAUUCGCCUUCCCGGCGGCAGAGGGCGCCUGGCGCUGCGGUCCGGCGAGCCGGAGCCGCCCGCGCGGACGCCGAGAGAAGAGGCGAGGCGGGGAGCUCGAGCGGCGGCCACUGCCACGUCUUCCCGGCAGUGGCGGCGGCGGCGCGGGAGGAGGCAUAACCCAAAGUCACCUUUCCUGGAAAUCAGUUUGCUGAAACUAUUGAAACAGCAGUUCUUGAAGAAAAGGAGAUUCUGCACCUUGACCAGAGGAGCGUGACCCUUCCUUCCUUCAAAUCCCUCUCCGGACGCACCCUCCUAGCAUCCCCUAGGAAAGAUGCGGCAGCUCAAGGGGAAGCCCAAGAAGGAGACGUCCAAGGAUAAGAAGGAGCGGAAGCAGGCCAUGCAGGAGGCCCGGCAGCAGAUCACCACGGUGGUGCUGCCCACGCUGGCUGUGGUCGUGCUGCUGAUCGUGGUGUUCGUGUACGUGGCCACGCGCCCCGCCAUCACCGAGUGAGGGACCUCCCCCGCCAGAGAGGAGGCGCGGGAGGGGAGAGCAGAAGAAGAAUGGCUUUCAUCCGCAGAGAUCUUCCUGCUGCUGAGCUCUGAGCCAGAGUACCCUGUCUUCUCUGGUCUGUGACUUGAUUAAAGUUUCUCCACUUUUCUUGGGAGGGAAUAGGGAACGCUUUAUCAGUGAAUGUGCCAUACACCUUAUGGUCCACUUCAUGUGCCUUUCAGACUUCAAAGCCUGUGUGUGUGUGUGUGUGUGUGUGUUUUUCUCGCCUACAAUCGAUAUGUAGCUCCACCUGGUGAGAGGAGGCAUCUCUGGGUCGUGGAUCAGUUGGAAUCAGUGCUCACCCCAUCCCCUUUGCUUUGAACAUGACUCUUUCCUACACGUGUUCAUGAUUUCCAAAGGGACUGUAUUUCUUCUCUGUGCUUCAUGUGAUUUGAAAUAUGUCGACUCAAAAGUGAAAUAUUUAUUUUUUGAAUAAAGGAGAUAAUAGCCUUAAA